rnacentral:rRNA from 1 species
CAGCAGCCGCGGGAAUACGUAGGUGGCAAGCGUUGUCCGGAAUUAUUGGGCGUAAAGGGCUCGCAGGCGGUUUCUUAAGUCUGAUGUGAAAGCCCCCGGCUCAACCGGGGAGGGUCAUUGGAAGCUGGGAAACUUGAGUGCAGAAGAGGAGAGUGGAAUUCCACGUGUAGCGGUGAAAUGCGUAGAGAUGUGGAGGAACACCAGUGGCGAAGGCGACUCUCUGGUCUGUAACUGACGCUGAGGAGCGAAAGCGUGGGGAGCGAACAGGAUUAGAGACCCCAGUAGUCCCUGUCUCUUAUAC